UCCGGUUUGGCACCGGCAGUCUUCCUAGAGUCCCCGCCAUUACGCGCUGGCAACUAAGGACAGGGGUUGCGCUCGUUACGGGACUUAACCCAACAUCUCACGACACGAGCUGACGACAGCCAUGCAGCACCUGUCUCACGGUUCCCGAAGGCACUCUCGCAUCUCUGCAAGAUUCCGUGGAUUCAAAGGUAGGUAAGGUUCUUCGCGUUGCAUCGAAUUAAACCACAUGCUCCACCGCUUGUGCGGGCCCCCGUCAAUUCAUUUGAGUUUUAAUCUUGCGACCGUACUCCCCAGGCGGAGAACUUAACGCGUUUGCUACGAUACUAAGAAGUCAAGCCUCCUAACAUCUAGUUCUCAUCGUUUACGGCGUGGACUAC
rnacentral:misc_RNA from 1 species